rnacentral:lncRNA from 1 species
UUCUCCUCGCCUCAUCUCCUUCCCACCGUGCUGCACCUCUCCGGCUACCAACCGCCGGCCUCGAGCGUCCACUUCUCCCCCUAGAUAUUCUGCUUGCCGGCGUUGCCCCGACCGAUCUAGACAGUUGGGUGGGGUUGGGGUGUCCGGGCGUCCAGACGAUGAGUUCCCGCCGGUGAGCUGGACGUCCUCCUUCCUCUUCUACCUCCCAUCCUCGUGGGAGCAGCGCGUCGUGUGCCUGUGCAGUGCAGUGCCCCCAGACGGGCAGUGCAGCAUGCUUGUUGGAGAGGCUCACUUUACUGCUGUCGGUUCACUUGCGGAGACCAGAGGUGAUUCAUUGAUACACAUCCCUCCCUCGGUUUCAUUUCUAUGCUUGAUCCAUUCGUGCGUGCGUGCAGCAUAGGUGUUUGCUGAAUUGCUGCUUCCUUGCCGGUUUUUGUUCAUUGACUGUUGCUAAUUAAAUACAUGCUAGCGACGACUAACCUGUGUCUAGUCUUUUUGACUGGAUCGCAUCCAUAUGCCCAGGUCCAAUGCGCCCUGCUAUAGCCACAUUUCUAAAUAUAUCUGUCAACAAAGAUGCUAUUGUUUAUUUCAUUUUUUCUAAUGUUUUUUAGAAAAACUGAUAAGUGAAUUGGGUGCAGUGCUGUUCAGAAGCUUCCGUUGAGUAUAUUUUCCAGUGUGUUGAUGCAGUUCAUUGAGGGUGAGCCCUCAGGGUCUCCGGCAUGUGUUGUGCAGUGCGGUGCACGCGUUCGUGC